CGGCUAUAUUACGCUGAGACAUCUGUUCUCGUAUGAUCACUGAAGUUAAGCAAUGUUGAGCCUGGUCAGUAUCUAGAUGGUUGACCGCUUCGGAAUACCAGCUGCUGG